GUGCACGCUGGCGGUAGGCCUCACACCUGCAAGUCGAACGGCAGCACAGUAAGAGCUUGCUCUUACGGGUGGCGAGUGGCGGACGGGUGGGGAAUACAUCGGAAUCUACUUUUUCGUGGGGGAUAACGUAGGGAAACUUACGCUAAUACCGCAUACGACCUACGGGUGAAAGCAGGGGAUCUUCGGACCUUGCGCGAUUGAAUGAGCCGAUGUCGGAUUAGCUAGUUGGCGGGGUAAAGGCCCACCAAGGCGACGAUCCGUAGCUGGUCUGAGAGGAUGAUCAGCCACACUGGAACUGAGACACGGUCCAGACUCCUACGGGAGGCAGCAGUGGGGAAUAUUGGACAAUGGGCGCAAGCCUGAUCCAGCCAUACCGCGUGGGUGAAGAAGGCCUUCGGGUUGUAAAGCCCUUUUGUUGGGAAAGAAAAGCAGCAGGUUAAUACCCCGCUGUUCUGACGGUACCCAAAGAAUAAGCACCGGCUAACUUCGUG
rnacentral:rRNA from 1 species